AGGAUCAGCAGCCAGCAAAGCCCAAACAAGGAAGUGCAAAGGCAAAUGCUCAAACAGGAUCCAGGUCACCACACAGCAUCUGAAGCCUCGUGUCUGAGAUCCUGAAGCUGUUGGCAAUAAAUCCUACACACUGGUCCUUUAAGGUAAAAUUUAGCUGGUCAAUCUUUUAAACAGGCCUAGUGCAACAGUUGUCAUGUGAGACGCAGCUGUUGGCAUCACGCAGCAUGAACACGACUACUUUACAUCCUUUGUGCAACUCCAACAUGCAGUUCAACUUAUGCUCAUACAUGAAUGCUCUUUUGUUUUUGUUCUUUCAUAUAUAUGUUUAUUGCUUUUAAGUACAGGAAUAUGAAAUGAAAAACAAACAAAUAAAGAGUAAAAUCUCAAUCUC